AUCGAAACGCAAUACGCCGCAUAGACUUCGGUCAUGACGGUAUGGCGAGCUUUCGCCGUCCACGUUUCUCUUUCUUCAAGAAGACAAAGAACCGCGUCGAUCCAGUUUAGGCUGGACCGGUUUGANCGAGAAUGGGCCCGUAGCUCAGUUGGUUAGAGCACACGCNUGAUAAGNCGUGGG
rnacentral:misc_RNA from 1 species